rnacentral:ncRNA from 1 species
CCAUCCCUCCGCAGCUAGCUUCUUAGAGGGACUAUCGCCGUUUAGGCGACGGAAGUUUGAGGCAAUAACAGGUCUGUGAUGCCCUUAGAUGUUCUGGGCCGCAGCAGCGCUACACUGAUGUAUUCAACGAGUAUAUAGCCUUGGCCGACAGGCCCGGGUAAUCUUGGGAAAUUUCAUCGUGAUGGGGAUAGAUCAUUGCAAUUGUUGGUCUUCAACGAGGAAUGCCUAGUAAGCGCGAGUCA